GCGACCCCAGGAUGGGUGAGGCCACCCGCCGAGUUUAAG
rnacentral:rRNA from 21 species